rnacentral:rRNA from 1 species
CACUGUCACUCCUACGGGGAGGCAGCAGUGGGGAAUAUUGCACAAUGGGCGCAAGCCUGAUGCAGCCAUGCCGCGUGUAUGAAGAAGGCUUCGGGUUGUAAGUACUUUCAGUCGUGAGGAAGGCGGCGUCGUUAAUAGCGGCGUUGUUUGACGUUAGCGACAGAAGAAAGCACCGGCUAACUCCGUGCCAGCAGCGCGGUAAUACGGAGGGUGCGAGCGUUAAUCGGAAUUACUGGGCGUAAAGCGCAUGCAGGUGGUUUGUUAAGUCAGAUGUGAAAGACCCGGGGCUCAACCUCGGAAUUGCAUUUGAAACUGGCAGACUAGAGUACUGUAGAGGGGGGUAGGAAUUUCAGGUGUAGCGGUGAAAUGCGUAGAGAUCUGAAGGAAUACCGGUGGCGAAGGCGGCCCCCUCGGACAGAUACUGACACUCAGAUGCGAAAGCGUGGGGAGCAAACAGGAUUAGAUACCCUGGUAG